rnacentral:misc_RNA from 1 species
GAAAUGCGAUACGUAAUGCGAAUUGCAGAAUUCAGUGAAUCAUCGAAUCUUUGAACGCAAAUUGCGCUCCCGGGUUACCCCCGAGAGCACACCUCUCUGAGUGUCGGUUUAACCAAAUGUCACCAAUUUAUUGGUGUACGACAGACUGAGGGUAAGGAGUCUCGGCUUCUUUCCCUUUAAAUCUCAGCCGCACGACUGUGUGUGUUCGUGGCAAGUUGCUUUCACUUAACUGUGAAUCCAAUCCAUGAACCCUAUGUUACUGCAGCCAAAGAAACAAAUGAACAGAGUUGUGAACUUGAGAGCAUGUGAGGUAGUAAUUAAGUUUCGGCUUGGUUGUUGCUGAUCAUGUUUUUGGGGGAACGUCUCUGGACAUCUAUGAAUUAGACCUCAGAUGAAGUGG